CUCACGCUAACUCCUGUCGUCGGAACCUCCCCGCCGCAGCCCUAAACUCCUCUCCGCCAACAUCUUCGCCCAUCCUCUCUCCAUCGAAGCCCUCUCCGGCCUAGUCGGGUGUCGCCGUCACCUUCUUCCGUUGGGUGUGAUCCUGCUACCUCAACGACCAGCACCCACCCUACGCGUGGAACCUUGUGGUCGACCUCCUCGGCAAGAACUUUUUGACGCCAAGUGAAACUCUGUCCACUCCAUGCAAUCCGAGGGCCUUCUCUCCAUGCCUCCUACAAUGGUGAUCUUGAUUUUUAGUACUGCCACAUCUCCAAAGGUGCAUGACCCUUUUCCAUAGCAGAUAAUGGGUGUAGAUUGCACGACAGAAGAACUUAAGGCAGACCUCUUGUUAUCUAAAAUUUCUUCAAAGAUUGUUUGUGAUCCAAUUGAAGCAAGGAAGUUUUCUGAUCCAAUCUUUGCUUGUGUAGGAGAUUAUGGUCUUAGCGAUGCUGGUUUUCUCUGGAAUUGUUCUGCUGCACGUUCUUCUAGUGGUUGCAACUGAACCUGCACCAUCUUCCACGGAUAGCAAUAGUGAAGGAAGCUUCAAGAACCUUGACAAAUUGACCAUGGGGCAUGUCAA